UAUACCCUGCGGUGCACGUGGGGGGCCGUAAGUUUUGAGCCAACACCAAUAAUAAGGGAGACUGGACUCUGGAUGGGGAAUGUAGGCCUGGCAAGAACCGGGGAACAGGAAACAUUCAGGAGGGCACCCACCUGCGAGAGCAGGUUCAAAACAGCGGCAGCACGGCAUUUGCGGGGUUAAU
rnacentral:other from 1 species